rnacentral:ncRNA from 1 species
AUCGAAGGUGAUAGUAGCGAUAUCAUCAUAAAAGCCGCCAUUGGCGUCAUGGAAUGUAGCCGGAGUACAGGAUGACCGACCCGUAAGUCCAUGAAUAAGUCCCGAGA